UUUUCGAAAACUUGUCCUAACGCGUUAGAUUGUCGUACCACGGAGUUGUAGUGUUUCCGUGUGACCCUAGGACUUAUUGUUUGCUGAGUUUCUGACUCAUUAUGAUUGAUUUAUGUGAAAUUGCUUUAAGGUUCGUUUGAGGAAUUCGGAGGACUUGAGGAGGAAGAUCGUGAAGGAAAGACCAAGGAGCGAGCUGGAAAACCAACAGUUGAGUAUGGCGGACUGGUACGAGACGGUCGUCCCUUCGGGGGGGACCAGGUUUGAGAUGUUGGACCAAGACACUCCGGGCUCAUGGGUGGUCGACCCCGCCGGCCACCGAGCUAUCUAUUCGGGGCGAAUAAUGGAGGAUCGCAUUGACCGGAUACCAAGCCUGACGCACGGAGUUUGGAGGCACUACACUGUCAGCUUCAACUUGCCACCGGGUGUACACUGUGGGACUGGGCGGCAGCUGUUGAUUUGGGAUCGGGUGCAGAACCCGCGCGACCAGCUGUGGAGACCGAUGCAGUCAUCGACAUGGUCGUCUUGGAUUCAGAUUCAGACGACGAUCUUGGGGAUGCAUAGUUGGGAUUAGUGUAGGAGAAGCGUCUUGGCUCUGAUGUUCAGUCUUUCGUUUUGGGCAGGGUAGGUCCCCGACCUUUAGCUUUUCUUGUGGUUCUCUUUACGGAAAUCACAGAGAGUUGGUUGGACUUGGGGAUCUUGUUUUAGGCCAUCUGGGCUGACUUAUUCUCAUUUUGAGGGUUUGUGUUGCAGACACUUAACCUUUUCUUUUGGAUUGUACCUUUUGCCUUCGGGCGUUACUCUAUUUUGCUGUCCGUCACUGGAGGGUUACUCGUGACGUGGUUUACUACUUACAGCGGGGGCUGUAACUAUUAUUGUAUAUUAGUUUUGUUA